rnacentral:rRNA from 1 species
CGAUGUGCAGCAAUGUGAAAGAUUUAUUGCCUACGAGAUGAGCUCGCGUCUGAUUAGCUAGUAGGUGUGGUAAUGGCGCACCUAGGCGACGAUCAGUAACUGGUCUGAGAGGAUGACCAGUCACACUGGGACUGAGACACGGCCCAGACUCCUACGGGAGGCAGCAGUGGGGAAUUUACCGCAAUGGGCGAAAGCCUGACGGAGCAAUACCGCGUGAGGGACGAAGGCUUUUGGGUCGUAAACCUCUUUUCCCUGAGAAGAAGAUCUGACGGUAUCAGAGGAAUCAGCAUCGGCUAACUUCGUGCCAGCAGCCGCGGUAAUACGAGGGAUGCAAGCGUUAUCCGGAAUCAUUGGGCGUAAAGCGUCCG